rnacentral:rRNA from 1 species
GCUCAGAAACUCAAAGGAAUUGACGGGGCCCGCACAAGCGGUGGAGCAUGUGGUUUAAUUCGAUGAUACGCGAGGAACCUUACCUGGGCUCAAAUGUAUGUUGACGUAUUCUGAAAGGGAUACUUCUUCGGACAAUAUACAAGGUGCUGCAUGGUUGUCGUCAGCUCGUGCCGUGAGGUGUCGGGUUAAGUCCCAUAACGAGCGCAACCCCUAUCAUUAGUUGCCAUCAGGUCAAGCUGGGGACUCUAAUGAAACUGCCUACGCAAGUAGUGAGGAAGGUGGGGAUGACGUCAAAUCAGCACGGCCCUUACGUCCAGGGCUACACACGUGCUACAAUGGCCGGUACAAAGGGCAGCUACCUGGUGACAGGAUGCUAAUCUCAAAAGCCGGUCUCAGUUCGGAUCGGAGUCUGCAACCCGACUCCGUGAAGCUGGAAUCGCUAGUAACCGCGCAUCAGCCAUGGCGCGGUGAAUACGUUCCCGGGCCUU